ACCUCAAAGGAAUUGACGGGGACCCGCACAAGCGGUGGAUGAUGUGGAUUAAUUCGAUGCAACGCGAACAACCUUACCUACCCUUGACAUGUCCGGAACCCCUGCUGAAAGGCGGGGGUGCCCGAAAGGGAAUCGGAACACAGGUGCUGCAUGGCUGUCGUCAGCUCGUGUCGUGAGAUGUUGGGUUAAGUCCCGCAACGAGCGCAACCCUUGUCCUUAGUUGCUACGCAAGGGCACUCUAAGGAGACUGCCGGUGACAAACCGGAGGAAGGUGGGGAUGACGUCAAGUCCUCAUGGCCCUUAUGGGUAGGGCUUCACACGUCAUACAAUGGUCGGUACAGAGGGUAGCCAACCCGCGAGGGGGAGCCAAUCCCAGAAAGCCGAUCGUAGUCCGGAUCGCAGUCUGCAACUCGACUGCGUGAAGUCGGAAUCGCUAGUAAUCGCGGAUCAGCAUGUCGCGGUGAAUACGUUCCCGGGUCUU
rnacentral:rRNA from 1 species